rnacentral:rRNA from 1 species
UACGUAGGGCGCGAGCGUUGUCCGGAAUCAUUGGGCGUAAAGAGCUCGUAGGCGGCCUGUCGCGUCUGCUGUGAAAUCCCGGGGCUUAACCCCGGGCGUGCAGUGGAUACGGGCUGGCUGGAGGCAGGCAGGGGAGAACGGAAUUCCUGGUGUAGCGGUGAAAUGCGCAGAUAUCAGGAGGAACACCGGUGGCGAAGGCGGAUCUCUGGGCCUUACCUGACGCUCAGGUGCGAAAGCUAGGGGAGCGAACAGG